CUAGCCCAGCGCCUCCUGGCAAGAGCUUAUUUGCAUGGUAUUUACAUUUCAUUUGCAUCGCGUUCAAUUAAAAACCUGACCAGCUCCCGCCUGCCUGGCGCUGCCCGCCCAGCCUGGUGAAAAUGUUGGUUGGGCACUGCCGCCUUCCCACCCCCCUAACCCCCCCACGGACUGACCGAUGUGGGAGGGGUCCUCCCCUCAGUGAGAUCAUCUGAGUCACCCAUCCUAGAAGUGACAGGGCUGGAAGCACAAUGGAGAAACUGAGGCCCAGAAGGGCCUGCCUCGAGCUGCAGGCCACGGCUAGCGUCAGACGUAGCCGGAAGGGUGUCAGCAGUCACGGCUGUGCUCCACAGAAGACUUGCUGGGCCAGGAGUGGGGCCAGCGCCUCAGCUGCAGUACCCACUGGGGCUGCACCGCCAUUGUUAUCCCCACUGCACACAUGAGAAACCAAGGCCAGCGAGGGCCAGCCCAGGGCCUCUCUGUCAGUGUGACUUCCAAGUCCCUGACCAUGGCUCCCAAAAGGCCAAGCCUCCCUCCUCCUGGUGAGACAGGGUCAUUUCCCCAGGGUCAUUAACUCCAGGAUAGGCCAUUGCAGCCCUCACCCUAACCUGGGGGCUGGUGCUCUUCACUGAUAGCCUUGCUGGUGCCUGGGUGGAGGAGGGAGCACCUGCCCUGUGGAAGUCCCUCCUGGGACCUGGCUGCAGUCUUUCCUGUUGCCAAGUUGCCCUUGGUGGGCCCUGCUCAGAGCUGGUGACGUUGUGAAAGGCAGGAAAAGACCCUGAGAAUGAAGCGAACCCAGAGGCAUCCGAGUCACAGAGCUAGGGGAGAAGGCCGUCCUGGAGAGCCCCGGGGACUUCUGUGUCCGUGCCCACACCCGGAGCUGAUGAUCCUUACCUGGGCCUGCCUCCGGUACCGCCAGCUCUUGAAGAGAGGAGGGCUGGAGCGUGUGGCUGGAAGCUUAGCUUUGGCCUCGGGCAGCCUGGGUCCCAGUUCCAGCCCAUCUGGGUGAGCUUUGAACCAGCCGCUCCUCCUGUGAGUUUCCUCUUCUGUUUGUUUUUAUUAUUCAUUGACAUAGAAUUGUACCAAUUUAUGGAGUUCCCAUGAUGUUUCCAUAAAUGUGGAAAUCG
rnacentral:lncRNA from 1 species